rnacentral:lncRNA from 1 species
CAGGAUUACAUUGUUAUGAAGAGAUCUGACGAUCCUACAAUACAGAGAAGCAGUCCCUGUCUGUUAAGAGGAUCCUGCAAGACCCAGAGCUCCAGCACGGUCUGUCCACCUCACUCACUGAUACAUGAGGGAACCAAUGAGCAGAACAUCCUGGAACUGACCAAUCAGAUCAUCCACCUGCUGACUGGAGAGGUGAGGCUGCUGGGAAUGGGACAUUAUAGAGUAAAACCAAGGAAUGUGUCUGGAUGGUGACUGGAUGUUAUUGGUGAAUGUCUGUUAUUUCUUGUAGGUUUGGAAGUAUUUAAAAGGGCAAAAGGAAACUUACAAGGAAG